rnacentral:rRNA from 1 species
GAUGAACGCUCGCUACACGCUUAACACAUGCAAGUCGAGGGGCAGCAUGAUUGAAGCUUGCUUCAAUCGAUGGCGACCGGCGCACGGGUGAGUAACACGUAUCCAACCUGCCGAUAACUCGGGGAUAGCCUUUCGAAAGAAAGAUUAAUACCCGAUAGUAUAGUAUUUCCGCAUGGUUUCACUAUUAAAGAACUUCGGUUAUCGAUGGGGAUGCGUUCCAUUAGAUAGUUGGCGGGGUAACGGCCCACCAAGUCAACGAUGGAUAGGGGUUCUGAGAGGAAGGUCCCCCACAUUGGAACUGAGACACGGUCCAAACUCCUACGGGAGGCAGCAGUGAGGAAUAUUGGUCAAUGGACGAGAGUCUGAACCAGCCAAGUAGCGUGAAGGAUGACUGCCCUAUGGGUUGUAAACUUCUUUUAUACGGGAAUAAAGUGGAGUAUGCAUACUCCUUUGUAUGUACCGUAUGAAUAAGGAUCGGCUAACUCCGUG